rnacentral:rRNA from 1 species
CGGACUUAGUGAUCCGGUGGUUCCGCAUGGAAGGGCCAUCGCUCAACGGAUAAAAGCUACCCCGGGGAUAACAGGCUUAUCUCCCCCAAGAGUUCACAUCGACGGGGAGGUUUGGCACCUCGAUGUCGGCUCAUCGCAUCCUGGGGCUGUAGUCGGUCCCAAGGGUUGGGCUGUUCGCCCAUUAAAGCGGUACGCGAGCUGGGUUCAGAACGUCGUGAGACAGUUCGGUCCCUAUCCGUCGUGGGCGUAGGAAAUUUGAGAGGAGCUGUCCUUAGUACGAGAGGACCGGGAUGGACAUACCUCUGGUGUACCAGUUGUCGUGCCAACGGCAUAGCUGGGUAGCUAUGUGUGGACGGGAUAAGUGCUGAAAGCAUCUAAGCAUGAAGCCCCCCUCAAGAUGAGAUUUCCCAACUUCGGUUAUAAGAUCCCUCAAAGAUGAUGAGGUUAAUAGGUUCGAGGUGGAAGCAUGGUGACAUGUGGAGCUGACGAAUACUAA